CACGAAGUUAGCCGGGGCUUCUUCUACGGGUACCGUCAUUAUCGUCCCCGUCGAAAGAGCUUUACAACCCUAAGGCCUUCAUCACUCACGCGGCAUGGCUGGAUCAGGCUUGCGCCCAUUGUCCAAUAUUCCCCACUGCUGCCUCCCGUAGGAGUCUGGGCCGUGUCUCAGUCCCAGUGUGGCGGAUCAUCCUCUCAGACCAGCUACUGAUCGUCGCCUUGGUGGGCCAUUACCCCACCAACUAGCUAAUCAGACGCGGGCCGAUCCUUCGGCAGUAAACCUUUCCCCAAAAGGGCGUAUCCGGUAUUAGCUCAAGUUUCCCUGAGUUAUUCCGAACCGAAGGGCACGUUCCCACGUGUUACUCACCCGUCUGCCGCUGACCCCGAAGGGCCCGCUCGACUUGCAUGUGUUAAGCCUGCCGCCAGCGUUCGCUCUCGAGCCACGGAGUCAAACUACU
rnacentral:rRNA from 1 species